CAAUAGCGUAUAUUAAAGUUGUUGCAGUUAAAAAGCUCGUAGUUGAAUUUCGGGUCCCCGCGCUCGGCGCUUCAUUGUGCCGUCGUGGUGUCCCUCCUCGCCGUAAGGCGUCCUUUACUGUGAAAAAAUUAGAGUGUUCAAAGCAGGCAAUCGCUUGAAUACAUUAGCAUGGAAUAAUAAGAUAGGAUCUUGUCUAUUUUGUUGGUUGCGGACAACGAUAAUGAUUAAUAGGGAUAGUUGGGGGUGUCCGUAUUGAGCCGUCAGAGGUGAAAUUCUUGGAUUUGCUCAAGACGAACUACUGCGAAAGCGUCUGCCAAGGAUGUUUUCAUUAA
rnacentral:rRNA from 1 species